AGACAUUGUUAUAAGUUCAAAAGUAAAUUACAAAAAAUAGAAACCAUUUCAGAGAAUUAAAUUUCAAAGAGGAAUAACCAAUGCCUAACAAACAUGAAAUUCCAUGGCACAAACAAACCCCAAAACCAUGACCUUCUAGUGCACAUGUUUUUCAAAUAUGAAAGAUUAUAGAAACUGGAAAAUUCUUUUCCUUAGCCAUUAUCAUAGGUUGACAUCACAACUAAAUUAAUUUCAUUUCGUCAAAUAUUGA
rnacentral:misc_RNA from 1 species